AUUCCUUUCUAUUCUAGCCACUAAUCCGUCUUCUCUGGCGGCCAUCAGCUGGUUCCCUUGCUGGCUCCGCUGGCUCUGGACUGGAGAGCAUACAGACGCCUGUCUCCUCGCCAUCCUCGGCCCAGUAAGAGCUCUCUCCUUGCAGAUCCCAGUUCCUUUCGCCAUCGAUGUGAAUCGCUCGCUCAUUGUUCCGGGUUGACCUCUGCAAUUUUUGCAUUGGUCCCGGUGAAAUAUUGUGUCGCUUCGUGUGGCCGCUCCUAGAAUUUCAUCGAUCUGGUCUCCCUUGUGGCCGUAUGUACUGCGAUUCUGGUAACUCAGACCGGCGGAAAAUCCUCACCCUUGUGGGACUAGUAAUGCUUUAUGUACUCCGCUAGUGCCAAGAACCAGGCAAUAGGUUUUAGAACCGUGCAGCAGCUUGUUGCACACCACGGCCCACUACAAUUCUUUCUGUAACUACUUGAAAUCUAGUCUGCAUUAUCAGAAAUGGUAAAACUGAGACUGUGAUGGAAUCGUUUUAAUCAUUAAUAUUUGAUGCAAAAUCACUGACUUAUGGUCAGUAAGUACCAUGUUGAGGGAAACAUUAAAGAAUCUUAAUGUGUGAAGGAAGCUAGACUUGGUUCCAAACCGAUUUGUCGAAAGGGUAGAGAAAGCAUAAUAGUUAGUUAGUACUAAUAUGAAUAACGAGGUCGCUCCACUUCUUUUUGGAUGGAGUGAUUCCUCAAACCAAACACUAGGUGUAAUCCCAUCUCCAGACGCUUGUUGCACAUGCUGCAGUUUUCUGGAUACGGACAUCCUGUCAAUUGUGAGUCGUCCGCCAUGAGAAUUUUGUUCUGCAUGAGAAUCCAGGUGAAAACUCAGCAUUUAUUUUCUGUAUAUGCUUUCCAGAUUUGGCUCGUUCUGUAUGUCCCAUAUGAUCCUUCGAACUGAACCCGGUUAGCCAAGCGAUUGGAGUGUGGACCAUUGGCUGUCCACUUCCACACUUUGGAAUCUUGCAUCUUGGGCUUUAGUUGUAUGUUCUGAAUCCUAACAGAAUGAGACGAGUUCUUCCACGUGUGUGGUUGUUGUGGCGUUGUCAAGAAUUGAUUGGAUCCAAGCAUUGUUGUGGAGCUGCUGAUGGACCAUUUUAUUUUCCCUUUUUGCAAACUUGAAUAGAGUUGUGCCAGGUUUCUAGCCUUCUAGGGGCCUCACCAUCGAGCCAAUUAUGGUGCCAGAACCGCACUUUCUUCCCAUUUCCAACCAUGAUUACGGUGGUGGUACUGAAGAGAAGCUGGUCUAACUUGUUGCAGGCAACCUCGAUUCCUGCCCAAGGCUUGGUUUGGUCCAACCAAUCUUGUUGUGAUUGUAACCACUGUAGUCGGAGGGCUCUGCCAAAUUUAUCCAGGUCUGUUAUUCCUAGACCUCCAAUCUCCUUUGGCCUGGUCAGGUUCAAUAUUUAAUACGGGUAGAAAAUGAAUGGUGAAUGUUCUUGAAUAAUUUUAAUCAGAUUCAUAUAUGAGUAUAUCACAUUGUACAGAUGGGAGCCACUUAAUGCUUAGUAGAACCAUCAGGUACCCUCUUUGUAGUUCAAGUGAACUGGGUAACACAAAUCUAGAAUAGUGGUGCUCUACAUGUCAGCAUGAUGCCUUUGGUUAUGCAUUGUACCAGAUAGAUGCUAAAUCACAAGCUUUUAGUUUUGCAGCAUCUUCUUGCUGUCAGUGACCACCAUUUGGUUUUGUUGUAAUGCCUAUAGCAUGGCCUUCUGCAAUCAUUCCCUCAAGUAUCCAACCUUUUUAUCAGAUGGAUAAUGACACAUAUGUCUCGUUUGGUUGCCAUAUACCUCUAGCCUAGCCUGUAUUAGGCCAGAUUGUGUGGAUACAUACAGUAGCAGUUUGUUUUGUUGUAUGUCUUAAUUAAGAGUGGCCAUUAUGUAUCCUACCUCUUUAGAACAUGGAUAAGGAAACAUGUUUCAUUUUGUUGCCAUACACCUCUAAUCUAUCCUGUAUAGGCGAGACCGUGUGGAUGCAGUUGCAGUUUGCUUCAUUAGCUGAAUUAAUUAAGAAUGGUCAUAAAGGAUGGUUUUUUUUGCCCGUAUAAAUACAUGCUGCAUGAUAUGAAGGUUGAAACCAUGUGUAACUUAGUAUAUUGUUUGUAAAGACACUGACCAUUAGUUUAUGGGAUAUUUCAUCCCCGUUGAGGUAUCAUCAUAGCCAAGAUCCACUUCCUCUGCUUGACAUGUCAUGGCUGUAGAGAGAAAAUGUGAGUGACAAGAGUAAAGGACAUUCAUAUUAUGCCAUCGCUCUUCAUAUGUUAAUUGUAGAAUUUCUGGAGGAACUUAACUUACCUAUCAUUUUGAUGCCUCGACUUCUGGAUGGGGCUAAGUAUUUUAACUGGCUCAGCUGUCAGCCUACUAAUGUGCUUCUGCAGUUCUUUCCCUAGAUUAUGCUGACAAUAUGACUGGAGAAUAAACCCCUGUAAAUGGUAUAAUCUGAAUAAUGAUUUUGGGAUACUGGUGAAUAUCUUGCUUUCACUUAUGUCGAGAUACCUAAGGUGGACUAGAUGUUCAAUAUUAUCUGGCAGAAUACCAUCUGGAUGUUGUAGUACGAGCACACGUAAGCUCCUUAGAUCAUGCAGCGUUUCUUUAAGAACAUCGUUGAAGUUAUCUGGAGGGAUUCUUUCUCCAGGAGCAUGGUGCUUGCAUAUUAUUAGGCUCCUUAGAUUUUUCUUCAAAUCCGGGGAUUCUGCCAAUCCCUCCUGGGAUUCAACCAAACUCAUGCACACCUUAGAAAUAUUGCUUGCAUUGACAUAUAGGUGCCGCACAUUUCUUGGAAUACUAACAUGAAAAUCAUCUUCAAUUCGAAAGUGUUCUCCAUUGGAGAUUGAUUCUGCCAAAUCAUGUAGCAAGUCAUGAACAACAUAAUGGUUAUCUAGAUUGGCUGCUUUCUUAAUGAAUGAAAGCUGUAAGAGAUCAUUAAUAUAACGAUAUGCAUUUUCAUCUGAUGUUUCCUUUUGAAUGUAACCAUGGGCUCGCCACAUCUGUAUGAGCACAUCAUCCCGAUGUUGGUAGUUCUUAGGAAACAAUGCAAAGUAAACAAAGCACUGCUUCAAGUGAUCUGGAAGAUGCUCAUAGCUCAAUCGUAAUGCUGGCAUAAUAUCAUCUGCUGUCUGUUCAAUCUGCCACAAUUUGAGCUGAAGGACAGCCUUCCAGUGGUCUUCCUGUAGCUUCAGUUUCAGUUCAGCUCCUACCGUCUUAGCUGCUAGUGGUGAACCAGCCAAUUUCAUUGCCAAUUGUUCACCAAUUUGCACCAAUCUUGGAAAAUCUGACGGUGUUGCGUUGUCAAACGCGCAUUGCUGGAAAUGAUCCAAAUACUCUUUGCCUUUCAACCCAUCUAAAUGUAUUAUCUCUGUUGCUCCAUUUAUCUUUGCAACCUUUUCACUUCGAGUAGUAAGCACCACUUUGCUGCCCAUACUAGCAAACUGGAGGGGCUUGCACAAUGUUUCCCAUUUGCUGCUCAUUUCGUUCCAAACAUCAUCGAGUACUACCAAAACCUUGCUCCCAUUUAGCUUUUUCUCAAGUAUUCUCUGAACUAGAUCUAAGUUACUGAUGCUGUUCAAGUCAGCUGAUAUGGAGCCAUCCCAUGAAACCCUGCUGGUUCCACCUCUUUUCCUUUUAUGCCUACGGCAUUUCUGUGACUGUACCAUCUCUUUUGUGAGGCGUUUGACACCAAAUUUUUCUGAGACAUAGAGCCAUGCCAUGAUGUCAAAAUGUCCUAUAUCACGAAAAUGGCUGUAUACCCUCUGCAGUAGCGCAGUUUUACCAACGCCGGCGACUCCAACUAUUGCUAUUACAGAAUAUGGUUUUCUGCACCAAUCAUUUGUCUGUUCUAGUAAUUUCUUUAGCUGUGUUUCUUCAUCGCCUCUACCGAUCAAUCUUGUGGUACCUAGCAUAGAGGUUGUUCUGCGCCACUGAAGUGCCUUUCCUGGCUUCUUAUUCCUUGGGUUAACAAGCUCUAAGAAUGUUUGCAUCUCACUAGAAAUCUUAUCAAACUUUUCCAAAAUUGCAAUUAACUUAUUAAGGUCUUCAUCAGAAAAAAGGACACGCUUCAGAACACGAACUGACCGUUUUACUGUUGAGCUGCUGCUGGUAGAGGCAGUGGUGUUGGUUGUUGCGGAGGAUGAAGAGUUAACAGUAGCAUAAUCAGAUGACUCGGCCAGCACCUUUUCUAUGUCUUCAGCUUUUGCUUCAAAAAAGCGAUAGUCAAAUAAAUCAAGAACAUCCACAGCCUGGUAAGCAGCAUCUUUUAUACUCCCUUGCCAACUUUUCAUACUGGGAUCUUUGGUUUGCAAGCUUGAAGCUUUGUCCAGCACGAAUGGUAUCUUCCAGAGAUUAUUCUUGAGCUUGGUUAGUUUAUCCUUUGCAUCAUCCCUUUGGUAUUCAUACUGGUCUUCUAGGUAAGAGCACACUUUGCUAACCAUCUUGGCGAUGCAGGCUGAUGCCAUCCAUUCUCCUAUUGCUACAGGAGCCAUAGGCAACUCCAAUGCCAAUUUCAGGAUUAGUCGUUGUAGAAGGAAAUGGAUAUUGAGUUGAGAAACCUGGUUCUUUAAAUUGGAGUUACGAAGAAAGAUUAUAGAGUAAAAAGCAAGUAUUGUUCUCAGAAACUACCCCGAGUUGCAUCGUCCUAGAUCCACAACCUAGUUUAGUUAAACGUCACUUGUGUUGCUUUGUUAUUAUCAUUUUAUUUGUUGUUUAGCAACUCUAUUAGUUGUUUCCGCCACCAAUCUCUGUUGGUUUACUCCGCUGAAACUAUUGAUGUCGACCUGUUCUGUGAUACUUCAAUGUUGGAUCCACGUAUCUAUUGAUGUUAACCUGUUCUGAAUACUUGGCUGUUGGCUCCACUUAUUCGGGUUCAUCUCUUGGUAAUAGGGCCUUAGAGCAACUCCAAUAGUUAUGUAAAUUUUAGCUCUCUAAAUUACAUAUUUUAAAAGUUGCUAAACAACUUUGGGAGUAAAAAAAUGUGAGCUCUCCAAUAGUUCUCUAAAUAUAGGUUGUAAUUUUGUUUUGUAUCUAUUUACGUCAAAAAAAUAAGUUAGAAAUGUCACCAAUUACCUUCAUUAACUACAUAACGUAGUCAACAUUUUUGUUUAGGGAAUUGCUAAAUGGUUGCCAAAUGUAAAGAGGAAAUGAGGUAAGAUGAUGAGUUGCUAAAUUUAGAAAGUUAAUUUAGAGAACUGUUGGAUAUAAGUUUUUAUAUUAACUACCUAAAUUAUUGAUUUAGGAAGUCUUUUAGAGAACUGCUGGAGUUGCUCUUAUGCAAUUCUAUCUCUUAAUUGAAAGGCAAGGUUGUUGGUUGUUUCCUUUAUAAACUGGAUCAGUUCUAUCCCUUCUUAAUUGAAAGGCAAGGUUGUGUCAUAGGAUUAACAAAAAGUAUCCUCUAACCUAACUGGCUACAAAAAGCUUAAUGUGGAUAACCCAAGUGGCUAGAACAAGCUUGCAUAUGUAGCGUGAGGAGUUUUUUUAAUUAGAUAAAUAACCUUGUACCAUCAAAUUAAAAAAAUGGAUCUCAAUCGUUUGUUUUCUGGAAGGAAUUGAAAAGGCUAGAAGUUGCCAUAUAUAUAUAUAUAUAUAUAUAUAUAUAUAUAUAUAUAUAUAUAUAUAUAUAUGGUCAGUGCGUUGCAAUGAAAACAUAUAAUACCAUGAUUAAUUAUUAACAAAUGUGUCUCGAGCUGUUCGGGAUGACAUUGAAGCGAAACUCGGGCUCACGAUCGAGUGUACCGAGCCCGCGCUGCGAGACCGCCCAUCUACAAGGCACACAAGGUGGACGGCAGGGGACAGUCUCGGGGAGGGGGUAAUUUCCGGGUAACUGAAAGCAUUUAGUUGGUUUUAGUGAUUAAUGACAACGUAAUAUUAUAUGUGACUAACGUGUGUUUUGCAGAGGCAAAUGGUAAGUUAGGUCGCAUUAAAGGUAGAUGUACUACAACGGUGAAAACAAUCCCGGAGAUAAGAACUUGAAGCGACGGCUAAAGCGACGAAACAAAAAGUGAAGGUCUUUGUAUUCCGAGUGUCAAGGAGUUGUGGACACUCGUGAUAUAGUUAGGUCUUUUAUUUUGUUUUAGCCGUACUAUAAAGAGGGGUUAUCGAUGAGUAGUUUGACCAAGAGAGUUCUAGUGUAGUGUUGGUGCAUAUUCACAUUCACAUAUAGUGCUAGGUGUCACUCUAGAACAUACUCACAAGUUAGAACGAAAACCGAUUUGAAAAAGCAGAAAAACAGAAAUUAGGGUUUCUGGAUUUGGUACACCGGACUGUCCGGUGCACCCUCUGCCAGUGGGGCCAGCCUGGCCCAGGGAAGAGGGUUCCCUGCGCGCAGAAAUCCGAGAGCGCGCAGUUCACGAGUUGAAUUUUAGUGGCACACCGGACAGUGCACCGGAAUGUCCGGUGCGCACCAGACAAUGACUGUUCACUGUCCAGUGUGCCAUCUGCCCAACGAUUAGCUGUUAGAACUAGCCGUUAGAGUCGACCGUUGGCGCACCGGACUGUCCGGUGCGCCCAUGCGCAGCAGAUUCCUGGUAACGGCUAGUUGGUCGGUGAGGGCUAUUUAUACCCCCUUCACCCACCAUAUUGAUUGUCUUGCUGCCCACAUUUACUCCUACACUUUGGUAGAUUAUUGCAAGCACCACAAAGCCUAGUGAGGUGAUUAGAGAAUUUUAAUCCCGCAUUUGGACCUCAUUAGCGCUAGCGAGAGCCACCUAGAGCACACACCGCUUGCAUUAGGCUUCUCUUGGUCAAGUGAAAGUCUACGACUUGUUACUCUUGGUGAUCGGCAUCACCUAGACGGUUUGGUGGUGUUGGGAGCUCGGUGAUCACCGUGGAGAUCUUGUUGGUGACUCGACUCAAGUUUGGAAGCGGUCGUGAGGGAUCCACUACGCCGGAGUGGCAAAGGAUUAUCUCGUAGUGAGCACUUAGUUCUUGCGAGGACCAAUGGAGAGCGAUACCCUUGCGCGGGUGCUCCAACGAGGACUAGUGAAGAGUGCCGACUCUUCGAUACCUCGGAAAAAAAUUGGAGGAGUCUUCUAAACUUUGCUUUACAUUCCGCACUUGAUUCAAGCAUUUUACAUUGUGUAUUUGUUUAGCAAGUAUUUGAAGUAUUGACUUAGCAUUGUUGUAUUUCUAGUAUUAUUCUCUUAUUGAUAGUUGUCGGGGUGAAGUUGGGCUCUUGCUUAGAUUUUAAUUAGUGUUGAUUUUAAGAAAAGCUCAAUUCACUCCCCCUCUUGGGCAUCGUGAUCCUUUCAUUUGGUAUCAGAGACUUGUUGCUCUUAGAUUAGCUUAACCGCUAGAGUAACGAUGUCCGGUGGGGAUGGAUCUCCUCCCAUUUUUGAUGGUGAUGAUUUUCCAUAUUGGAAAAUUCGUAUGGAAGCUUACUUAGAGGCUAUAGACAUUGGUGUCUACAAAGCCGCCACACAAGGUAUCCCCGAACCUAGAGAUCCUACAAAUCUUUUAGGUGAAGAGUUUAACUAUGAGAAAUUGAAUGCUAAGGCCAAAACACUCUUUUUAGAGGCCUUUGCAAAGAUGUGUUUAAUAGAGUUAGAAACCAUAAAAAUGCUAAUGAUUUGUGGAUGACAUAUGUGCUCUACAUGAAGGAACUAGAAGUGAGCGUGAGAAGAGAUAUCACAUUGCUAUGAGAAAAUUAAAUUCUUUUGAAAUGCUUGCUAAUAAAAAUGCCAAUGCUAUGUACUCACGUCUCAAUAUUCUUGUAGAGGAAGUAAAUGGCUUGAGGCUUACACAAAUUUCACAAUCGGAUGUUGUGAGAAAGAUUAUCAGUGUCCUCCCAAUUGACAAAUAUGGACACAUUGUCACAGUGCUUCAUCAAAUGGAUCUUUCAGUUGCCACUCCUACACAGAUAUUGGAAAGAUCAAUGCUCAUGAGAUGUAUAUGCACAUCAAUGUCAAGGAUGAGUCAUCUUCCAAGAGAAAGGAUUUUGGCUCUUAAAGCAAAUCAAGAAAGAAAAAGACAAGCUAAAGUACAAAUUGAAGAGGAAUACUCAAGUGAUGAUGAUCUUGAUGCUAACAUUGCCUUGAUGGUGAGGAAGACCAUCAAGAUGCUAAAGAAGCUCAACAGAGAAGGCAUCAAAUUUGACUCAAGAAAGAAGAAAUUUUUUUCCAGCAAAAGAAAACCCAUUUCUGAAAUGUAUUGCUACAACUGCGGUGAGCUUGGUUAUCUUGAUCAUCAAUGUAACAAACUCAAGAAAACAAGUUCAAGGGCAAGAAAGAAGAUGACAGUGAUGAUGAGAAAAAGGAAAAGAGAUUUUUAGAGGAAGGAUGGGAAGCACAAGAGGUUCCACAAAAAGAAAAAUGUAAAGGCAUACAUUGUUGAUGACUGACUCACUGACAUUAAGUUAUCAAGUGGAUCUUCUUCAAGUGAAGAAGAAAAUGAUGAAAAAGUUACCGCCAUCGCUGGGGACUAAUCUUUACCACCACCAUCACCAUCAUCGACUUCUCACUUAUGCCUCAUGGCUAGAGGUGAACGAAAGGUACAAAAUAAUAAUGAUAUUAUUGAUGAUAGUGAUAGUGAUAGCGAUGAUGAAUUUGCUUCACCUUCCUAUGAUGAACUAACUGACUUGCUUAAAGAAUACACUCAAAUUAUUAGGAAGUCAAAAGCUAAAUGUGAUAAGUUGAAAGAUGAGAAUGAAUUUUUAAAUGCCAAAUAUGACAUAGUUAUGUGUCAGUACCCUAAAAUAGGGGUACCCCUUACUAUCGUAUGAAGACGCAGUACCCACGCGGCUAUCUUUAGUCACGUGGUAAAGAAGUUAUGCGUGGGACCAGAUCAUGGCUCGCCCCAGCCUCGGGCGACUACUCAAGGCCAGCGGCAGCACCCGACCCCUCCACGUGGACGGUUUCGGGACUGGCACGUGGCAGGAGAAGAUGAUAUACUCCAAGAUAUCAACAGUGAGUCCGGACCCCCAUAGGAAAGUGUUGGACCCCUAUAUAUACAGACCAAGCCUCCGGGUAAGGUCCAGAACCCCAUGGGCGCAAACCGGACCCCUAAGAUGGGGUCCAGACCCCUCUAUGUGGUGUCUGGGCCGCUCACGGCAGGGUCCCGGGAUUCUAGGACAGAGAAUGCCCAGACCUUAAUCAAGGCCAGGCGGGGUUCGGAGCCGACACAUAUCCGGACCUUAUCGUUUACGCUUCUGCUCACCUCCCAGGCGGAGCCCCGAUGCUGCCAUGUGACAUGGUGCACGUGACGUAAGCCAACGGGCCGAGCCUGACGUAAGGCCUCUGGGCUGCGUGGCCUCUGCAUUUAUUGCGGAUAAGGCGCGGCGCCUGUCCAUUCCACUGGCAGGCGGUGUACCGCCUCAGCAUUAUUAAGCCCUGUCCAUUCCACUGGCAGGCGAUGUGCCACCCCCGCAUUUAAUGAGUCCUGUCCAUUCCGCUGAUAGCGAUGUGCCGCCUCCGCAUUUAAUGAGACCUGUCCAUUCCGCUGGCAGGCGGCGACCAGUCCGUUUCGCAAGCGGCGUGCCUGUCCAUUCCAUUGUCAAACGGUACGCCAUACUGCUGCGUGCACUAUGUUCAUCAUCACUCGCACGUUACCAAGGAAGCAGCCGUGGCAUACCAAUACUGAGUGGACUGAGGACAUCGAGGCGCACAAGAGAUUGCACAAGCGUUAGUUACUCCUAUAAUAUAUUCCUUCCGUUAUGUUCCUGGGCCCAUAUAUCAGGGCUCAACAUCCUUGUAUGUGCCUCCCUUGAGCUAUAAAAGGUAAGGCGCACGACGUUACAAGGUAGGUUCACUCAAACUCACAAGUUCAUAUGAGCUCUCAAGCUCACAGACUCAAUACAACACACAGUGAAGUAGGGUAUUACGCUUCGGCGGCCUAAACCACUCUAAAUCCUCGUGUUCAUCGAUCUCCCAAUAGACAGGCAAAACGUUUAGGCCCCUCCUCAUCUUAGGAUUUAGGGCGGGUGCGUUCCGCCACCCAGUCGGAGAAUUUCCUCUCCGACAUUAUGAAACUUAGUGAUGAAAUGAAAAAAGAAAAUAAAACUAUGUUAUCCACUGUAAAUGAGCUUACAUCCUCCCUAAAAGAUGCUAAGGAUAAAUGUGACAAGUUAAAUGAAUCUAAUAGGGAGUUGAAAGAUAGACUAGUGAAAAUUAAGGAAGACUAUACUAAGAUUAAAUUUGAUCAUGAUAAUUUUCUUGUUGAAAAUGAACUUUUAUCUUGCAAUACACAUGAGGCUAUUAACCCUGUUAAGAUUGAUGUAGCAACCUCAUGUGAUGAUUUGAGUCAAGGUGAUUAAACUAGUCUACAUGAUGAACUGACCAAAAAAGUUGAAGUCUUGACAUUAGACAACCAAAAAUUGAAGAGAUACUUGACUGAUGCAACUAUUAAAGGAAAGGUUGCCAUUGAGAAUAAUGACUUCAACAAUGAGUUGGUAGUGGAUAAUAAAAGGCUUAAAAAUUAGGUCAAGAAACUUAAGAGUGAAAAUGAAUAUCUUGCAACAAGUGUGCAAAAGUUCAAUAAGGGCCAAUACCUCCAAAAUGAAUUGCUCAUAAACACUGUCAUGAAAAAUAAUAAGAGUGGUAUUGGAUGUAAUUAAUUUGUGUAAAAGAAAACUACAACUCAAUACAAGAUAAAGUAGACUCAUAAGCCUAUCAAAUGCUUUGAGUGUGGAAAAAAGGUCAUUUUGCCCACAACUGCAAGGCUAAACCACCAACUCCCUUGCCAAAGCACUCAAGAACAUUUGCCUUCAAUGCUCAUUAUGUUUUAAGAAAAGUAGCAAAUGGAAAAGUCAAAGUUACAUUCCUAGGUCUACCAAGCAAGAGUAGACCUAGACAAAUUUGGGUUGCAAAGUACUUAAUUGAGAAAGUCACUGGUCCUAUGCAAUAUAGGGCCCUCAAAACUCAAGCUUGAUUUGUCUGUGGAUGUAGGUGAACUACAAGACCGGUGGGAGCCAUUGGGUUAUUGACAGUGGAUGCACUCAACAUAUGACAUGCAACCCACGGAUAUUCACCUCACUUGAUGAGAAUGUUGAUGGACAAGACAAAAUCACAUUUGAGGACAAUUCAAAAGGAAAAGUUUAAGGACUUGGCAAUGUGGUAAUUUCAAAUGAUUUAUCAAUUUCAAAUGUUCUCUUGGUUGCACUUUUGAGCUUCAACUUAUUAUCAAUGGGUCAACUCUGUGAUCUUGGACUUCAAAGCUUAUUCACUCCAACAGAGGUUAUUGUAUCAAAAAUGGAUGAUGAAUCAAUGAUGUUCAAAGGAUUUAGAUACAACAAUCUCUACAUAGUGGAUUUCACCUCUGAAGAUGUAGACUUAAGAACUUGUCUCUUUACUAAAGCGUCACUUGGAUGGCUAUGGCAUAGAAGGUUUGCACAUGUUGGAAUGAGCACACUCAAGAAAGUAGUAAAGAAGGACAUGGUUAGAUGACUAAAAGAUGUGUUAUUUGAAAAGGACAAGCCGUGUAGCGCAUGUCAAUCUAGAAAGUAUGUUGCUAACACACAUCCUACAAAAGCUUUCAUGUCAACAUCAAGGCCACUGUAACUACUUCAUAUGGAUUUAUUUGGACCAACAACUUAUGCAAGUGCUGGUGGCAACCUCUACUGUCUGGUGAUAGUUGAUGAUUUCUCAAGAUACACUUGGGUGUUCUUUCUCCAUGAUAAAUUUGAAGUUGCAUUUAUAUUCAAAAAGUUUGCCAAGAAAGCUUAAAAUGAAUUUGGUUGCAAGAUCAAAAAGAUUAGAAGUGAUAAUGGUAAAGAAUUUGACAACACCAACAUACAUGAAUACUAUCAUGAGAUUAGGAUCAAGCAUGAAGUAUCAGCAACAUAUACACCUCAACAAAAUGGACUUGUUGAAAGGAAAAACAGGACCUUGAUCACACUUGCAAGAAUAAUGAUUGAUGAGUAUAACACAUCGGAUAGGUUUUGGGUUGAAGCUGUCAACACUGCAUGUUAUGCAUCAAACAGGCUAUUUCCUCACCGGCUACUUGCAAAGACUCCCUAUGAACUGCUAAAUGGGAAAAAGCCAGACGUCUCCUUCUUUCGGGUGUUUGGAUGCAAAUGCUACAUCUACAAGAAACACCAUCACUUAAGGAAGUUUCAGAGACGUUGUGAUAUUGGUUUUCUACUGGGUUAUUCAUCAAAGUCGAAAGCAUAUCGAGUAUUCAAUCAUGCCACUUGCGUGGUAGAAGAAACAUAUGAUGUGGAGUUUUAUUAGACUAAUGGCUCCCAAGGAGCACUUGAAAAUCUUGAUGAUGUAGGUGAUGAUCCAUUUAGGGAAGCCAUGAAGAAUAUGCCAAUUGAAGCCAUCAAACCAAAAGAAGAUGAAGAAGAGGUGCAAAACAUUGACAUACCUUUUUCAUCAAGUGUACCAUAAGAUGAUGAAAAAUAUGAGAGGUAUGCAAAUAAAGAUACAUUUGUCUCUCAUAAACAAGCAAGGGUACAAGCCGAAGAUGUUGAUGCUCCAGGAUCUUCUUUCCAAGUGGUUGACAGAAGAAACUCAUCACUACUUCAAGCACACCCACAAGACCAAAUCAUUAGGAGUCCUUCACAAGUGGUUAUUACUCGAUCACAUAAACAUGCUUAUUUUAUUGAACAUCACUCCUUUGUUUCUUGUGUUGAGCCUACAUGUAUAGCUGAGGUGCUACAGGAUCCGGACUGAGUGAACGCCAUGCAUGAAGGACUAAACAACUUCACCCGUAACCAAGUUUGGACCCUGGAGAAGCCCCACAAGAUGCAAGGGUCAUUGGAACAAAGUGGGUGUUUAGAAACAAAUAAGAUGAUCAAGGCGUGAUUGUGAGGAACAAGGCAAUACUUGUUGCAAAGGGCUUCUCGCAAGUUGAAGGCUUAGAUUUUGGAGAGACCUUUGCACCGGUUGCUCGACUUGAAGUCAUCUGUAUCCUAUUCACAUAUGCAUCAUGCUAUGAUAUAAAGAUUUAUCAAAUGGAUGUAAAAAGUGCAUUUUUAAAUGGCUUCAUAAAUGAACUUGUAUAUGUUGAGCAACCACCCAAGUUUGAAGACCCUCGAUAUCCUAACCAUACUUACAGGUUGUCCAAGGCGCAAUAUGGGUUAAAGAAAGCUCCAAGGGCUUGGUAUGAACAUCUUCGCGACUUCGUCAUCGAAAAGGGCUUCAAGAUCGGGACCAUCGACACAACUCUAUUCACAAAGAAACAUAACGGUGAUAUUUUCAUUUGUCAAGUAUAUGUUGAUGACAUAAUCUUUGACUCGAUAAAUGAUUAUCAUUGCAAGGAAUUUGGUAAGUUGAUGUUGAAGGAGUUCGAGAUGUCUAUGAUUGGUGAGCUGACGUACUUCCUCAGCUUUCAAGUCAAGCAAAUGAAAGAUGAUAACUUCCUUUCACAAGAGAAGUAUACCAAAGACUUGUUGAAAAGGUUCAAUAUGGAGAAGUGCAAACCAAUCAAGACACAUGUGCCAACAAAUGGACAUCUCGACUUAGAUGAGGGAGGUAAUUCGGUUGAUCAAACUCUCUACCGUUCUAUGAUUGGUAGUUUACUGUAUCUUACCACAUCUAGACCCGAUAUCAUGUUUAAUGUCUCUAUGUGUGCUAGAUUUCAAUCAAAUCCUAAGAAAGCUCAUCUUCGCACUGUUAAAAAAAUUCUUAGGUUUCUCUAGCACACCCCAAGCGUUGGCCUUUGGUAUCCCAAAGGAGUUACUUUUGACUUAAUUGGCUAUUCCGAUUCGGAUUAUGCCGGUUGCAAAAUCGAUAGGAAAAGUACUUCUGGGGUGCCAUUUGCUUGGGAGAUCUCUAGUAUCAUGUACAUCCAAAAAACAAAAUAGUGUUGCCUUGUCAACCGUCGAAGCGGAAUACAUUGCCGCGGGUGCUUGUUGCACACAGAUUUUAUACAUGAAAUAAACUCUUCUAGACUAUGGUGUAGUUCUAGAAAAGGUACCUCUGUUGUGUGACAAUGAGAGUGCUGUUAAAAUUGCUAAUAAUCCUGUACAACGCUCUCGCACUAAGCACAUUGAUAUCCGUCAUCACUUCCUUAGAGAUCAUGUUGCUAAAGGAGACAUAAUUUUAGAAGGAGUGAGGUCGGAAGAUCAAUUAGCGGAUAUUUUCACUAAGCCACUUGAUAAAACCCGCUUUUGCAUGUUGAGGAAUGAAUUAAACAUACUUGAUCUUAGAAAUUUUAUUUAAAGAUCUCAAAUGGUGUUGUCAAGCUUGCAUUGCAUAUUUAAAUUUCUUGUAUUGCAUCUAGUGCUUGUCUAACCUAGUUAAGAUAACCGCCAACAAAGCGAGUGAAAAAGAUUAACUCGGGCUCAAACUUGACAAGUCUUCGUUUUAAGCUUUUAGUACUUAAAUUCCUACUUACUAUGCAAUUGUUGGUUCUUGAGAUAUGCAUGAGGCACUACACUUAGGGGGAGUAUUCAAAACUCAAAUCGUUCAUGAAAACCCCUAGCGCAAAGCCAAAAUGCAAAUCUCACCAUUUGCCUAUUUUCUCUAAAAAUUAUCUAGGAUAUGGCAAAAUAUUUUGAAAAUUAUGGAAAAAUAUAUGAGGGUGCCAAUACCUGUCCCAACAGGUGUUCUUUUGUGUGAUUAUAAGUUGGGAUUUGGUUUGGUUAGAAUUUAGAUAAAAAAUUUGAAAAAUGUCAAAAUUCCCUCUGUCUGGGUUCACCGGACAGUCUGGUGUGCACCGGACACUGCACUGUGCACCGGCCGCGCGCGCGCAGAUCCCCUUUCUGUUGUGCGCUAUCCGGUGGUUCACCGGACAACUACUGUGCGCUGUCUAGUGUGCACCGGACAGGCACUGUAGACUGUCCGGUGCGCCCAUAAUGCGUUUUAAAAAACGGCCUCCAGCCCGAGCCCGAGCCCGAGGCCAUCUAUUUCCCCUCAACUCCCUGGCUCCCUUCUCUCUGGCGAUUUCUCCUCUGCUCACCGACGGCGAUCGCCGGCGGCCGUUCUCCGGUGGUCCUCUCCUGCUCGGCCUCCUCACCUCUUCUCCCCUGGUGAGCCUCACUACCCCUCUCUCUCUCUCUUUCAGUCUGCAGUGAAGUUUCCCCCCAUCUGUUUGGCUCCAAAUCAAAUCCUUGUGCCACUCUUGUAAAAUCAACUGAUCCAAGUGCAUUUGUGUAUCCCUGUGUAUCCCUUGAGCUACCUUGCAGGUUCAUCUCUCCUUUUUUGGAGGAUUUAAACCCUAAAAUGGUCGUUCCCCUCUAAACCUAAAACCACGCACGCCACGUGCUAGGUGAAAUGCCUAAACCAGCCAAAAUUGCUCCAAUUGAACCCAAUUUUUUCAGGCACCUUCCUAACCCCUCUAGUAACAAAUUCGUCAAAUCUCACGCCAAUCCGAUAUCCCAGGCUUCAAUUUUCGACAAAUUCCCCUUUAUAGCCAUUGAUUCCGAGUCGAGUGCCCAAAUUCCACUUUCUUCGCCUAAAAUCAAACCAAGCGCACACUUCACUCAUAUUUACCCAUAUAAACCUAUUCGUGAAGUAUCAACUCAAUUCCAAGUCAUUUCAUGCCUCAUUUCCAAUUUAAAACCUCCUAUGGCACUAUUCCUCAUUCACGCCGUUUUCGCGUCGUUUGACCUCUCGAUCGCCAAAUCUCUCGAUUUCUGUUUCAUAACGGUUUGUGUAUGUAUUUAUUCACAUUUCAUGUACUUAUGACUAUGUGACUAAUACGUGGUCACCUCUUCUGUCAUUUCAGUGACCUCGACUGCCCGUGAGCCAUCUCCUAUCCUGCCUGGAUUCUCUCCCUCUCUCGUGAGAUUUCUAGGUAAUUAUCCUUUCUUUUGUCAUCCUAUCCGCUGCUAUCUUCUCGUGCUUAGUUUUUCUCUCUCAUAUGUAGUCUUCAGGUCAGGAUGAUGCGCACGAAGAAUGUGUCAGUGCUAGGGGGAGGAGACGACGAGGACCCUCCUCGCCCCUUCAGGCAGGUCAAGGGAAAUACCGUUUAUUUGGAGCAGCAGGAAGGCCGCAAGAAGCGGUGUUUGGAUAGAGCAGCCCGAGCAGCUCUAGCAGCAGCAGUAGCCGCUGAGCAGGCAGAGAGAGGUGGUCAGCUGCAGAUAUCUUUAGAUCAGAUUGCUUACAGAAUUCGUCGACUCGCCUCUCGGCCUCGCUCCUUCGCACCUUCUACUCCCGCCACUGCUACCACUCCACCUCCCACUUCGCCCGCUCCAGUCACUUCUGCGCCAUCCACCACCCAGCCACAGCUACCACCUCCACCACUUCUGCUUCCACUGCUCCUCCCGCUCCCCUUUCUGCUCCACCCAUCCCUCCUGCCCGCUUCCGAGAGCGAGAUGAGACCGAGGUGCGACCACUGGCUGCCGAUCCUAGAUUGAUCGAUCUUGAGCGUGCUACAGCGACCUGAGUACGUCGGUUCAGACACGUACCCGUGGAGACUUGGCUACUUGCACAGAGAGACCCUCCAGCAGCAGAUCUUUUCAGCACCAGGAUCCAGGAGUCUUUCUUUCGGGCACAGAUGUCAGCCCAGAUUGCUCUGCGAGCGCACCGGCUAUUGGAUCUCCCAGCGUUUCUGCUAGCCGCCGGUGCAGACUCUGAGGUGCAUCUCUCAUAUUUGCCUGGACUUCUUACUCUUCUGACUACCAGCGAUAGAUAUGUUGAGGAGUGGGUCCGAGUGUUCUAUGCGUCAGUAUGGAUCAACCCUGAUCACCAGUGGAUGAGGUUCCGCUUUGAGCGAGAGGAUGCUACACUUCAUGUUAGCCAGAUUCGCCAGCUAUUUGGAUUCACCGAGUCAUCGACUCGCCUUCACAGCUUGUGCUACGGUACCUCUGAUCCUCCUCGUCGCCCUCACGGCGGAGUUGCUCCUGCUACAGCUCUCGUCGCGGCUUUGUUCCAACCGGCCUUCUCAGAUGGGUCGUGACGCUCUCCGGCAGAUUUCACUACAGCGGACAAGUAUCUAUAUCAGCUUAUGAGACGGAUGCUACUGCCCUGGAUGGGUUAUAGGGAGGCCACCACUCAUAUCCAUCUCUGGCUACUUGGUGCCCUGAUCUCGCACUUAGAGUUUGAUGUUGUUGACUUCCUUAUAUGUGAGAUCGAGGACACAAUAUUGGAUGGUCUUCGUGCCCGGCGUCAGCUGCCGUAUGCUCACUAUCUCUGCUACAUCUUCGCGCAACUGAUCUAGCCACCGCAGUUCCAGGGCACUCUUGAGGCCUCGCGCCUCCACUUUGGCUCCUACCGUCCAGCCCCUGAGGAACUAGUGCCGACACCUGAUCCAGUAAUUGACACUCAGGCAGAGGAUGCAACCUUUCAUCAGUUUGAGACUCAGGGCACAACAGUUCCUGACGAUGAUGAUGAUGAUUUUGGGAUUCCGCCUCCGCCUCUUGUGCCUCCGCCCUCAGAUGAUCAUGAGGCCGGGAGUUCUAGUGUUGUUCCUGCUGCCCCUCCUGCGUUUGACCCUGCUCUAGCUGUGAUCCUUCAGGCUCUUAUACAGCAGCAGACUCUUAUGGCAUCCGAGCAGGCUCGACUGGCGUUCGAGCAGGCUCGACAGGCAGUUGAGCAGGUGAUAUGCACACGCCUAGGCAGCACGUGUAGCAAGUUGUUGUGGCCUGAUCUUCUCGUAGGAUCUGCGAACUUGAUAAAUUGUUGUUGCGUGACCUGGUGAAGAGGCAGCGCAUCGCGAGGCUGUCCACUCGACGAACAACCGAGACAAUCACCCUUCCAUGUAUCGACAAAAUAGCCCACGCAAUCACGCCCUAUAGACGUGAAUGCACGAACUGGGUGAACCGCAGUUCGACGUUCUACAACUCCCUCAAGAAUCGAAAGAACAAAUGUUGCAAGCCUCUCAAGACUCACGCAUAAACAAAACUCCACGAGUUUGUGUAUUCUGAAUUAAAAAACAUAAGAUAUAUGUCCUUUCAUUGCCUAGUACAAGAUAUAUAUAGAGAUAGGGGCGUUCAGCUUUGAUUAAAUGGUUGCAUGCGCAUGCUCUAGUGGAUUUAGUGGCCGGUUCGCGCGUCUUUUCAGCUUCUGGCAGCAGUUACUAAAAUGAGCAUAACUCCUUAUUGGAACGUCCAAAUAAUGAACCGUUUGAUGGGCUGAAAAAUAGACUUGAAGACACUUCCAUCCACUUAUAGAACACCAUCUAACUCCUUGUAUUCUGUCUGUAGUGAUGCUUGGAAUUCGUACCACGUGUCAGUCAUCUAGCUUCUGGUUGCAUUCCCAUGCUAAGGUGAUGAACCACCAUUUUAUUCAUGCACACCAUAGGCUUCUUGGUUCAGAUGUCCAGAGGCUUGAAUCCAUCUUGAUCCCAUGCUGGUUCAUACACUCCAUUCCUGAGGACAUUGAAACAAGAACUCAAAAGCAUAGGCUCAUUCAACAUAGACUGAUUAUUAAAUAUAAGGUUAGCGUUCACCUGAGAAUGAAUUUCCUUCUGCAAUUGUUUAGCUCUACUCCUUGUAAUUGGACCAGCUAUAUCAAGUGGAGUUUCAUUUGAAGAUGAGUGAAUGUUAGGCAUGUCCUCAUUAGCCUCCCCCUCUUGAGAAGGAGUCGUCCUCAACUCAGGCUCACCAACAAUUGGAAGCAAGUCUUUGACAUUGAAUGUUGUACUCACAUUGGAAUAUUCAGGUGGUAGCUCAAUUUUGUAAGCAUUAUCAUUUAUCUUUUGGAGAACCUUGAAUGGACCAUCACCCCGAGGAGAUAACUUACUCUUACGCUGUUGAGGAAAGCGAUCCUUUCGUAGAUGCAACCAUACAAGAUCUUCGGGCUGAAAUGUAACCUUUUUCUUUCCUUUGUUUGUGUGCUUUGCAUAUUGUGCUGAUUUCUUCUCAAUAUUCUUUCUUGUCUCCGCAUGUAACCGCUUGAUAAGGUCUGGUCUUUUUGUGGCAUCCAAGUUAACUUGUUCUAGUAAUGGUAAAGGCAAAAGAUCCAUGGGAGUAUGCGGUUUAAACCUAUAAACUAUUUCAAAUGGACAAGAAUUUGUUGUGGAAUGAACUGCCCUGUUAUAAGCAAAUUCAACAUGCGGAAGGCAGUCUUCCCAAAGCUUUAAAUUCUUUUUCAACACAGCACGCAACAUGGUUGACAAGGUACAGUUGACAACUUCAGUUUGCCCAUCCGUUUGUGGAUGACAAGUGGUUGAAAAUAACAACUUUGUGCCAAGCUUAGCCCAUAAUGUCUUCCAAAUGUAGCUGAGAAAUUUUGUAUCCCGGUCUGAAACAAUAGUCUUUGGAACUCCAUGUAAACGAACAAUCUCCCUGAAAAACAAAUCAGCAACGUGUGAAGCAUCAUCGCUCUUAUGAUAGGGGAUAAAAUGUGCCAUUUUAGAAAAGCGAUCUACAACAACAAAAAUAGAAUCCCUCCCCCUCUGAGACUGAGGUAACCCCAGAACAAAGUCCAUAGAUAUAUCUUCCCAAGGUACAUGUGGAAUAGGUAAUGGAGUAUAUAAACCAUGGGGAUUGAGGCGGGACUUAGCUUUCAAGCAAACGAUGCAGCACCCAGCGUGCCGCUGGACAUCACGUCGCAUGUGUGGCCAAAAGAAAUGAUCGGAGAGCAUGUACAAUGUAUUUUUGACACCAAAAUGACGAGCUAGUCCACCUUCAUGUGCUUCCUGCAAAAGAACUGGUCGAAUCGAACAAGCUGGGAUGCAUAUUUUGUUAGUUCGAAAUAAGAAGCCAUCAUGCACAUAAUAUUUAUCCCAACCUUUUCCAUCAAUGCAAUGAGAGAAAGGUUCUUUAAAAUCAGCAUCAGUAGCAUAAAGUGUUUUAAUGAAUUCCAAACCAAGCACUUUUGUAUCUAAUUGUGUAAUCAAUGCACAUCUUCUAGACAAGGCAUCAGCAACAAUGUUAUCUUUACCACGCUUAUGUUUGACAACAUAGGGAAACAUUUCAAUGAACUCAAUCCAUUUAGCAUGUCGACAGUUCAGCUUGCCUUGGCUUUUCAGAUAUUUCAAAGCUUCAUGAUCAGAAUGGAUUACAAAUUCUUUAGGGAACAAGUAAUGUUGCCAAACUUCCAAAACACGAACUAACGCAUAAAGCUCCUUGUCAUAAACUGAGUAAUUCAGAUAUGGACCAUUUAGCUUUUUAGAAAAGUAGGCAACAUGUUUACCUUCUUGCAGCAGUACACCUCCUAUGCCAAUACCACUUGCAUCACAUUCGAUCUCAAAUGUCGUACCGAAAUCAGGAAGUUGUAGCAGCGGUGCUUCACAAAGCUUUGUUUUUAGCUCAUUGAAGGCUUGAUCUUGUUCAUCUCCCCACUUGAAUGGAACAUCCUUCUUUGUCAAAUUAUUGAGGGGUGCAGCGAUCAUGCUGAAAUCUUUAACAAAACGCCUGUAAAAAUCUGCAAGACCAUGAAAGCUUCGAACUUGGCUCACAUUUAACGGUGUAGGCCAAUCCUUUAUUGCUUUAACCUUCUCUUCAUCAACCUGAAUACCAUCUGCGGAAAUAACAAAGCCAAGGAAAACAACACGGUCUGUGCAAAAGGUGCACUUAGCAAUGUUGCCAUACAAUUUCUCUUCCCUCAAAACAACAAGUACUUGAUGGAUAUGAUCAAGAUGUUCAUCAAAUGAUUUGCUAUAGAUCAGAAUAUCAUCAAAAUAAACAACGACAAACUUGCCAAUGAAAGCUCGUAAAACAUGAUUCAUUAAGUGCAUAAAAGUUGAAGGAGCAUUUGUCAAGCCAAAUGGCAUCACAAGCCAUUCAUAGAGGCCAAAUUUAGUUUUAAACGCUAUUUUCCAUUCAUCACCAAGUUUCAUGCGGAUUUGAUGAUAACCACUAUGCAAAUCUAUCUUGGUGAAAAUGAUAGAACCACUCAAUUCAUCUAACAUGUCAUCAAGUCGUGGAAUGGGAUGGCGAUAUCGAACAGUUAUAGCAUUGAUAGCACGACAAUCAACACACAUGCGCCAAGAGCCAUCUUUCUUUGGGACUAAAAGAACGGGAACUGCACAUGGUGAUAAAGAUUCAUGAACAUACCCUUUGUCCAAAAGCUCUUUUACCUGUCGCUGGAUUUCCUUUGUUUCUUCGGGAUUGGUGCGGUAGGCUGGACGAUUUGGAAGCGAAGCACCUGGUACCAAAUCAAUUUGAUGCUCAAUUCCACGGAGUGGAGGAAGUCCAGCUGGUAUCUCAUCUGGAAAAACAUCUUCGAAGUCCUGUAAGAGAUCAAGAACAACACUAGGCAGCGAUGAAGGUAAAUCGUUAGUUGAAAGUAGGACCUCCUUUUGCAAGAGCACAAAGAAUGGGGCUGUGGUGUUUCUCACUUCUCUCAAAUCACUCUUGCUCACAAAGAGACACUCAGUUGGCGUGGCUGUUUAGGAUUGGCAUGAGGCUUUAUGUGGCUGGAUGGUUUAGAACUCUCUCCCUUACUUGGGUUGGGGGUCUCACUCAAUUUUCUUUUGUCUGAUUCCUCUCUUUUCUUGCGAGCCAUAUCUGAAGUAUGUAUCUCCUCUGAGAUAAUGGAACAAGAACCACCUUCUUGUCAUUGUGAAUGAAAGUGUAUUUGUUAGACCGUCCAAAAUGCACCGAGUCCACAUCAAAUUGCCAGGGCCGACCAAGCAGCAAAUGGCAUGCUUGCAUGGGGACAAUAUCACAAUCCACCUCUCCAUGAUAAUCACCAAUGGAAAAUGACAAACGAAUCAUGGGUGAAACCUUAACUGUCCCAGAAUUAUUCAGCCAUUGCAUAUGGUACGGAUGUGGAUGGCGACGUGGCUGCAAACCAAGCUUCUCAACAAGCAAAGCACUAAUAAUAUUAUUGCAGCUCCCACCAUCUAUGAUGAAAUGGCACACUUGGCCUUGCACUUUGCAUCGGGACUGAAAUAAAUUAUGUCGUUGUCCUUGUUCAGCUACAACAAACUGAGUGGAAAGAACUCUCCUAACCACCAAAGAAGGAGAUGGUGUAUUCAUUGUAGAAGGCUCGAAAUCAGGAAAAUCAGCAAGCAACUCAUCAAAAUCAGCACUAGUAAUCUUGUCAGAAGAUGGAGAAAUAACAUCUUGUAACAUGUCAUUGUGAGCAAAAGUUGGAAUAGGUUGAAUCGCUAAACAAUUCAGACCUAGCUCAAAUGUACCAUCCUCUGCUUAAUACUCACAAGUGUCAAGAUUAAAAUCUGCAAAUACAUUGGUAAACUCGUCCUCCUCUUCACUUUGUGAAUCAUAAGAACCGCUAGCAAGGGCAAUAAUAGUACGAUGAUUUGGACAUUCAGCUUGUUUAUGCCCAUGACCACCACACUUAAAACACUCAAUCUUGCUUGAUUCGCAUCCACUUGUUUGGAUGAAGCUUUGUUCUCUGCUGUCACAAAGGGUAGGUUUGUUUCCUCAGCCACUGCAGCAACUAUUUUGGCAUCAAAUCUGCAAAAGACAGAUUGGAUUUAAGUAUUUAAAUAAAUGAAAGGAACGCCUUAGGUAAAGCAUGGAAUUAACACUCUGUUUCAAAGUUAUCCUAAACCAAGUACCAUAAGAUUGGUAAUGAUUAACCAUAUAAAAGAAAAAACAAUUUGGGUGGAUAAUCAAAUCUCCAUAUCCCACUUCUUUUAAUCCAGAAGUAGACAUAGGCUGAUCAACAGUGCCGAUUAGAAAGCCAAUACCCAUUCGGGUUAUUAAAUCAUGACCGUCGAUGAGUUGAUGAGCGCAGCGGAUUUUAGUAGGUCGGGGAGCGAUCUGGGCCAUGUAUCGCAGAUCGGACGGUUAGUGGAGCAUAUCGGUUCGGGCGGUUACGAUUUAAUCGUGACUGUUCGUUUUGAUCUGACGGUCUAAAAUCGUGCAUACCUGUGGCAGCCCUCCUAAGUUAUUAGGCCCACAUGCACCAAUCAUUGCCUUGAUAGUCUCAGAUGGCUAUGCAUGUGUACUAGCUAACUUAAUAAGGCUAUCACGAGUUCAACCACUUGAACUCAUCAUCCCAAGGAUCUCCCACCAUACAUGCAUAUUACAGUAAUCACAUUCGAUACACACACUUCGGAGAUAAGAGCGGAAGACUUUACAAACAUUCUUUACCUUUUCAAAACUCAAGUUUUACAUGUUUCGAAAGAGUAAUAUUUAUUACAAGUCCUGAUAUACUCAAAGUGCAUAACUUAUUACAAAAGCAGGAAGGUAGAAACCCUCCAAAGCUUAUACAUAAACCUAGCUAGUCCUCCUCCAGAACUGGAAACGCCCUCCAGCCACAGGAACACUUAGAGUACUCCUCAUCACCUACAACAUGGGUUCGAAAACCCUGAGUACGGAGUGUACUUUCGCAAGUCUUACCCGACUAAGGAAAAAUGACUCUCAAGGAUAUGUUGGUUAAAUAGGAAUUAAGAAAAAAGCUUUAGCAAGAAUCAACUUAGAUACUUUUGCAGAAAUAGCUUACUAAAGUGAGUCCUUACUUUCAAUAUUUUAAUGCCAGAUUAAACAUUAAUAGACUCUGGUUGCAUCUAGUCUAAUUUCACCAUCUCAUCAAUACAACAUCAUUUUUAUUCAUAAUGUUUACAUCCUGACUUAGGUUGCAGGUCAGAGAUCAAGUCUCCACUCUCCGAGGAUAUAACGGCGAUCUAAAUCGAUUUACUCAACUGAGGAUCUCUAACCACACGACAUAUGUUUCUUGUAACUCUUGCAUAUGUCUACCAUUCCCACGGAUCCUCCACUGCAUGAACAGGUCCGCGCCACCCGAGAGCACACCACCACUUUUUUGGCAAUCCUUUGCCAGGAGGGUACGUGCUACUCUUUCCAUCUCUCCACUCCCAGUGCGCGAUUGUAUUUUCAUGUAUGGAAUAGCCGGGUUCAAGCUUACCCUGUCCCAUAUCCAGGGCAUGUGGCCAGUUAAGAUAGUCCUUGAUCAUACAGGCCUACAUACGCAUCCAAUCCUUAAUUAACCUGGGUAGAACAUCACCUGUUCCUAGCCCAAGUCCCGAUUUAAGUACUUCAAUCCUUAGGAUUGUUUGUGUUCCUUAGGAUGAAAAGAGCAUUAUAGGGAACUUUGCAGUAAGAUCCCACCAUGCUCCCAAUGAAAAUAUUCUUGUAGGUAGAAGCCAUCCUUCCUCAGGAUAACCCCUGAGCUAGGCAUUAAUGCAAAAGACAACCUCUAUCCACAAGAUCUAAGCAGGGCUAAGCAUUUUUGUAAAUCAUAUUUUGAUACUUCAUCAGAAGUAUCUAUAAAGGUAUGGAUAUCAAGGUAGGCAAUGCAUCCAAUAGUUUCCAAGCAACUCCUAUAAACUUAAUGCACAUUUCACUAAACUUAAAGUGUAUAAAAAUCUUUUAAAAACACAAGGAAAGGGUAAAUGCACCGGGGCUUGCCUUUGUUGCAGAGAAGGGGUUCCAGAUCCCUCUAUUAAAUACCCAGUUAGAUGGCUCCUCCACUUGAUCAACAGCCACUGGAGUAGACUUCUCCUUCAAACACCACUUCUUCUAGGUGUUCUACAAGUCAAUUACAAAUACAUGUAUGCUUAUGUAAUGAUAUGGAAUGCAAACUUUCACAAGGAGAGAUGGGGAACAUAAAUACUCCUAAAUAAGUACAUGCCAGGUAUACACAUACAUCUACACAACCUAGCACUUAAUAAAAGUGACCAAUUUGAAUUCACUUAGGUAAAGCAGGGAACUAAUCCAACUUAUAUCUCAUCCAAAAGCUUAAAACUUCUUAAGCAACUGCAUUUCUUCCCUAGAUAAACUUAUCUCCUUUCCAAAGCACUACUCACACUUGAUUAGGGAUUAACCAUUUUAUUUUGGGGCUUACAAAGUUUUCAUAGCAAAUGGAUUCCAAACAGCCUCAAAACUUUACCACACCCUCCACUGACCAAAACAAGGUUACUCAAAAAUUUCCAUAAUUUUUGGCAUUGUACCUUUAUUUCGAAAAUCCAAACAGUCCUUCCAAAAGCACCUUUAAUUCACUUAAUAUUUUCUAAUUACUUUAAAAAUUCUAAAACCAACUUUACCAGAGAGCUCUUGAUUUUAGACAUCCAACAAAAUUUGUCUCAUGAUUUUUGGAAUUUUCUACUAUUUUUGGCGCUAUUCACAAGUUCUCUAUAAAAGGAAAAGGCCAAACUUACUUAAUGAGACUUUUUUCACCAUCAUAUGGUCUUCACUUCAUCUAUAAACACCAUAACCAAAAGCUUCAUGGAUUGGCCACAAACAAGGUCCAAAAACAGCCAAACACUGAAUUUUUAGCUGCAGACCACUGUUCACCAUCUAAAACUCCAGAAAUCUGCCAGCUCCACUUUAGCUCACUUUUUCCCUAGUUCCAAACAGCUUCCAGGGUAUGGCCUUCAAUCAAACCUGGUCUCCUAUUAUAGCUCUAUUGCUCUGCUAUAAGAGACCUAAUUUAAUUCCCUACAGGUUAGCCACUAUAAAGGUCCAAACAUGGCUAAAGUUUACUGAAAUUCAGACUUAGCCAAUUAGCUAAGUCUGAAACCCAGAAGUUGAUAACCCACUUUUGAGCAAGCUUUACACUCAGUUCUAUAUAGUUUUUGGGUCAGAUCGCUUACUCAAACUUGUGCUCCAAUAACAGAUCUACAACUUUGUUAUAGUGGCCAUAAGCUAUAACUCUAUGGAUAGAGCAGCAAAGAGCUCCAAAGCUGCAGCAAAACAUACAAAUUCAGACUCUGAAUUUGCACUAAGUCUGAAAUCUGACAGCCCAAUUGUAGACCACUUUUACUCGAAUUUUCAUAUAAUAUCCAACAAAACUAUCUUAAGGAGAUUUGUUCACCAUCAUAUGCGUUUCUCUAUCUUAUGUAGAGCUCAAAACAUGCACAACUCGACUGAGGACACCUUUGAAGUUACCUGGCCAUGGUGAAGUGGGGGAUCAGCAGUUGUGGUCACCACCUAGGGCUUGAUGCACUCGGUUCUGGGUUAGAGCAAAGCUAAGGACUGGGGGAGGGGGUUACACCAGCAAGAAUACACGAAUUUCAUACUCUUUACAGUGGUCUGUAGGUAGAGUUCAGGGCAGGGAGGAAAACUUCACUCGAUUAAGCCUUUUAAACAACUGAACAUGGGACAGAUAUCACUGUACUAGCUCAACAUGCAGUGGAGAUGUGUUCACAGUGUGCCAGCAACACAUAAACUAGCCUACAUGGCUUUCAUGCAUCAGCUUCACUCAGGUUAUAUCCUAGCUCAAACAAGGGAUUGGAUCAGCCCCAUAGCUCAAAAUAUCCCCUAUGUGCAGUGAACAUAGACAAGAAUAAGAGUGGCUAGAAACUCCACCUAUGGCUAAGCACAAAAGGGGGGGGGGUCCACGGUUUGAUAUUUUAGAAGGAGUGAGGCCACUAUAUCCUUUGUUUAUCCGGUUCAUUCCAUUAAAGAGCCAACAACUAAGACUGCACUGCUCAAUACCCAUAAACAGUCCAAAACUUGAUAUUUUCACAAGAGAUGAGAUUUCUAGAUCUUUAACCCUGCACUACAACCUUAUCUCCAUCUAUACCCACACGUGCAAUUCACAAGGAGAUGAAAUUCUUCUUCAGUUACUUAACCACCACUGAAUCCAACUUCAUCAGACCUGCUGCCCCCUUUUCACUCUUCUCUAUUCAGUCUCUAAUAUCUCACAAUUUCACACAGUAACAGAUCACCAUAUUUUAACCAAAGUUCCUCUCUCUAUAUAGCUCCACCACUUUUGCAUAGCAACCCUUGACUAAAAACGUAUAGAACAAAAGAUAUGGUACCUCAAAGUACAUCCAAAGACACUGAAAAUUCAGUUUUAGAAAUCUGAAACGGCACCACACUAAGUCUGACAGUGUUUUGUCACUCAUUUUUCUCCAAAUUAUACACAGUACCAAGCCAAUACUUUGCAUAAGACUUGCUCUCCUUCAAAUGGUCUUUGACUGUACCAUAGAUCUCUUAAUCAAAAUCGCCAUGGAUUAAUUACCACAGAGCUCCAAAGUUAGUUAAACACAACCCUGAAACAGAUUUUCAGUGCACUGAAACAGCCCAUAAUAAGUCUGACAGAGGAUUUUGCAGCAGGCUAUUCUCUAAAUCCCAUACAGUAUCAAGCCCAAUAUUUGCACAAAACCUGUUCAUCUACAUCUGGUCUCUCAUUUUGCUACAGACUCUUCACCCAAAUCGCUUUGGAUAUAUUACCACAAGGCCCCAAAGUUGUGUAAAAACACACAUAUUCAGACUUUAAUAUUAUUAUAAGUCUGAAUCCCAAUACCUGACAGUCCACCCGUUUGGCCACUUUUACUCCCAAAUUUAUGUGGAACCGGGUCCAUCUCACUUUAGCAAACUUGUUCACUUUACUAUGGUCUACAACUUUGCUAUGGAAACUUUAGUCUAAAACCACUUGGAUUGAUCACAAAUGAUCUCCAAAUUUGGCACCAUUUACUGAAUUUCAGUUUUUGUUAACUGAACUGGUUUCAGUCACCAGCAAUUCAACAGCCCAUUUUCAGUCAACGUUUUCUACACUUUUUGUGUAGGAUCAUAUCCAUCACCCUCAAAGACAUUCGUACCCCAACUUAUGCUCUUCAACUCCUCUAUAGAAACCAUAGUUCAAAACCUUAUGGAUUAUGCACCAGGAAGCUCCAAAGUUAGUCACAAUCACUAAAAUUCAGACUUACAUACCAUUCCAAAUCUGAAAACUCAGAAUUCAGCCACCUAGCUGACAGUCCAAAUUUAAGCAGCUGUUACUCCAACUUUUGUAUAGGAUCAUGUCCCUCACCCUUAAAGAAAGUUAUUCAAAAUCAUAUAGUAUUCCUUUUCUCUACAAACAUCACAGCUUAAAACCUUAUAGAAUAGCUGCAAAUAGGCUUCAAAACUGCUAUCAAAAUACUGAAACUCAGUUUCAGUUAUUGUUUCCAAUCUGAAAAUUCAGAAAUACAGCAGCACCACUUGGAACCACUCUUUUUCCUUGGUUCCAAAUGUUUAUAGGGGCAAGUUGUUUAAUAAAGUUUAUACUCUUAUAGUUCCUCUACAAAUUUGAUAUUGUAACCAUUAACCAAAACCUCUUGGAUUCCAAACUACAAUAGCCCAAAGUUUGCUCCAAUUGCUGAAAUUCAGAAUCUGAAUUUCACUAAGUCUGAAAUCUACAAUUUCUGGCAGCUCUAUUUUGGACCACUUUUUCAGCUAUAUAGUUUUAGGGCUAGUACACUUAAUAAGCAUUGUUCUCCAACAUUCACUUUACAAGUUUGUUAUAGUAACUCCUUACCAAAAGUCCAUAGAUCAAAAGUUAUAAGGGUCCAAAAACAGCUAUAUAAACUGUUUUCAGCCCAAUUCAAACUGAACCCAUGCUGAACUUUUGCAAAUUACUCCAAAUUUCUCCACACAACUUGGAAUUUUUCAAAUAUGAAAUUUGUUCACCUUUCCAAGUUCUACAACUUUGGUAUAUGGACUUUUAGCUAAAUUCUUCUAGAUCUUGAAUUCCUCUUUUGGGCUAGUUUUAGGGUUUCAAAUGUGGCUACUGUUUCUUCGAGUGAUUCAUCCCUCUGAUCCCUACACCUAGAGCAAAGUUACUCUCUAGCUCAAUUUUUUACUUGCUUAAGAGAUGACCUACUCCUGUUUAGCUUAAGCUAAGUCCUUAAACUAAACUCUAAACCCAACACACAACAUCACACUUUUGAAAAAGUUUAACCAAGUGAAUGCAUUUUAGGUGUAUCAAGCAGUUAAUGCAAAUGCUUAUGAUGACAUGUCAGAGUUUUAGUUCAUGUAACACCAGGGGUGUUACAAUACCGCUCCAGCCAAGCGCUUUUACAAUUAGAACCCCAAGUUUAAUGAGUAUCAACCCGUCGUCCUGCGCAGUGCGCUAUGGGUCUUAGGAUGAAUUACCCCGAGGUCCCUGUGUUUUCCAGAAAUAGGCGCCCAGUCCAGAGAACAGAAAAACUAGGGAAAUUAAUUUAGAAAUAGAUUUUUAGUAUUAGAUUAAUUGCAAAAACUUGUUUAAUUAGUAGAAAAUUCAUAUGGUCUCCAAAUUGGUCUAUUCUAGUUUCUAAAUUUUUGUAAUAUUAUUGUUUAUCCAUUAGUGCCACUGUUUUGGCAUGAAAGACACAUUAAAAUUUAUCUAUUACUUAAUCUUGUAUUAAAUACGUAAAUCCUUGGGAAAUUCAUAUCUUAAAAUCUAUAACUCUAAAUUUAAUGAUUCCUGUUCCUAAAGUCUUAUUUUAAUGUGUAUAUUAUUAUCAUGUAUUUUGUUUACAUGUUUGGUGUGAUGUUAAUUUUCCCUUUAUAUUAUGUAUGUUUGUACUAUUGCGAGUAGACGAGCAAGUCAUUGAGGAUCCUGGUGCCCAGCAGGUAGAAGUUGCUGAGUAGGAGCUCGUUGAAGGCAAGUUGUGCCCUUGAUCACUUCCUUUUUACCCAGUCAUGUUCUUAUUAAAUAUAAUGAUCUGCAUAGGUUAGUUUUGAUGGGACCCAAUAGGUUACCCUAGAUUUUGACUAUCUUUAUACCUUGUUUCACCACUGGUUUUACUACUGAUUUUUUGGGUAGUACAUGCUAUUGCUUUAUGUGGUUUUGGAUAUAGAGAUAUUCAUUACUCAUGAUUACACUUUUUAUUAUCUGUUUAUUAUUUACUGUUCAUGAUAAGAUCAUUAUGUUAAUGGGAACAUGGAGAACCACCCGAGAAAACAGUGCUACCACAAGGGUUUAAUGGGACGCCCUUGGCUGAUUAACUAGGAAAGCUAGUGGAUGACUACCUUACCCGAAAGGGGCAAGGGCAGUAGGGGAGUGGUCAGUGUAGGGAGGUCCUUGGGUUGAUUUUGCUGCGAUGGCGGUCAGGCGAGGGAUUCCUACACUGGAGCUUCCUAUAAACUGUAGCGGGUUUUCUGAAGCCAGUGGAACUUUGUAAAGGCCUCGUUCUGGUACCCUGCCUCGCUUCCUUGGUAGAGGUGUAUGUGGGGUCUGAUCAACCCCAUGGCAAAUGGGUAACAUGACUUGUGGGUAAAGAUGUGCAACCUCUGUAUAGUGUAAAACUGGUAUACUAGCCAUACUCACAGUCAUGAGCGGCUCGGACACUCACAUGAUUAAUUCAUGGAACUUAAACUCAAUUUGUCAUUUCAUCGCAUUGGGAUUAUUUUAUGAUUACUUUUACUUAUUAUUACUACAGUUUGGUACUUACUUACACUUAGUAACUGCUAAUAAAAUUUUGACCAACUUAUAAAAGCAAUGCUCAGCUUCAGCCUUUAUUACAUUGAUUUGCCUUACACUCCACAUGAACUCCCACCUUUGGUGAGUUCAUGCACACUAUUCCCCACAACUUGUUGAGCGAUGAACAUGUGUCAGCUCACUCUUGCUGUCUCACACCUCCACAGGAGAAGAACAAGUGGUCGAAGAAGAGCCGCCUAACACUGAGGCUAUGUAAUAAGUAUAUUUAUGAUAUUUAUCUCUAUGCACUCUAUUAUAUGUGUUGUUUUCUCUGGCGCAUAUAUGAGAUGCACCCGGCUUUGUUCCUUAAAUACAGGUGUGGCAAUGUGUUAGAUGAAUUAAAGAUGGAUUAGUAAUAACCAUUGUUAUCAAUAUCAGAAGUAGUUGGAUGAUCAAUUUCAUUGUUCUCAUUGCUAUCCAUUUCACGAUCCCUAGUUGCAGUAGCAAAGUUUUCUCCAAUGGCAGAUUGAAAUUUCUGGUUCUGACGAGAUACCAGGUUCUGUUUGUCACCAGACGAUACAUGACGCUUAUGUCGUUUUCGUCUAGGAGACUGUGUUAUUGUCCUUUUCAACAUCCUUAGGCUGCGACAGAGCAAGAACAAAACGUAUUGCGCUCAACUCAGAGAUGACCAUGUCCUUGGAGCAAGACAGAGACCCACGAGGCGCUUGAGAAUUCGCUGGACUACACAGAAGCUCUGGGGUAAACUUUGGGUUCUCAAUGGCGAUUGAGUCCUGGUUUAGCAUUCCUUGUUGUCUUAUUCUAUAGUUUUUCCAUGCCUUCUUAUUACAUGGUGCCCUAUUACGCAAUGCCUUUUGUUCCCUUGUUUGAGUUGCAAAUCGAGUUCUUUCUCGGAUUCUCUUACGUUCCCUUGCAUCUAAAACUUCUGAACUUGGAUUGGAAGCAUGUUGAUGACACGUUAGACCCGAUGCGCCUUAAAGUUGAAAGUAUAAAAGGUCUUAGGUGCUUAUAUAUACCAACUAAUGGUGCCAAUACCUAGAGUGUUAUCACACGGUAUAGUCAAAGAACAUAACAG
rnacentral:lncRNA from 1 species